GAUGACUAAUACCGGAUAACAACAGAUGAUGCCUAUCAACUGUUUAAAAGAUGGUUCUGCUAUCACUCUUGGAUGGACCUGCGGUGCAUUAGCUAGUUGGUAGGGUAACGGCCUACCAAGGCGAUGAUGCAUAGCCGAGUUGAGAGACUGAUCGGCCACAUUGGGACUGAGACACGGCCCAAACUCCUACGGGAGGCAGCAGUC
rnacentral:rRNA from 1 species